rnacentral:rRNA from 1 species
UACAGAGGGUGCGAGCGUUAAUCGGAAUUACUGGGCGUAAAGCGUGCGCAGGCGGUUGUGCAAGACAGAUGUGAAAUCCCCGGGCUCAACCUGGGAACUGCAUUUGUGACUGCACGGCUGGAGUGCGGCAGAGGGGGAUGGAAUUCCGCGUGUAGCAGUGAAAUACGUAGAUAUGCGGAGGAACACCGAUGGCGAAGGCAAUCCCCUGGGCCUGCACUGACGCUCAUGCACGAAAGCGUGGGGAGCAAACAGG